UACGUAGGGUGCGAGCGUUGUCCGGAAUUAUUGGGCGUAAAGGGCUCGUAGGCGGCUUGUCACGUCGGGAGUGAAAACUCAGGGCUUAACCCUGAGCCUGCUUCCGAUACGGGCAGACUAGAGGUAUGCAGGGGAGAAUGGAAUUCCUGGUGUAGCGGUGAAAUGCGCAGAUAUCAGGAGGAACACCGGUGGCGAAGGCGGUUCUCUGGGCAUUACCUGACGCUGAGGAGCGAAAGCGUGGGGAGCGAACAGG
rnacentral:rRNA from 1 species